UACGGAGGGGGCUAGCGUUGUUCGGAAUUACUGGGCGUAAAGGGCGCGUAGGCGGCGCGAUAAGUUGGGCGUGAAAGGCCCGGGCUCAACCCGGGGACUGCGCUUGAUACUGUCGCGCUGUGAGUCCGGGAGAGGAUGGCGGAAUUCCCAGUGUAGAGGUGAAAUUCGUAGAUAUUGGGAAGAACACCGAUGGCGAAGGCAGCCAUCUGGACCGACACUGACGCUGAGGCGCGAAAGCGUGGGGAGCAAACAGG
rnacentral:rRNA from 1 species